AGUCCCUCUGCUUUGGAGUACCACAGCCCCAAGCGUUUCCUCCCAUCCCUGAUUGCUGAGGAUGACACCUUGUUCACCAGCAUGGCCGAAGAAAAGGAGGACUCAUCUUCCACAGAGCUGGACGUCCCAGCAGCAGACUUACACAGCAGCACAGAGGAUCUCCUCUCAGACUCCGCUCUGCACGGCACAGAGUAUUACAAAGAUCUGGGGCUUCUGAGCCCGCCCGCUGACAAAACAGUGCCAGAGAUGGCAGCACGACCAGAAGCAGCCCCCCAGGCCGCAUCUGCCAGUUGCUUAUUGGAGGAGAGAUCAGGGGCUCUGGGGAAAAUGUCUGUGGAUGUUGCUUUUUCCAAUCCCAUCUCCUGCUCAGUGCGUUACGGUGAGGCCGACUGCCACUUUCUGAACAAAGCUGCCAGCACUGUUGCAUGUCCUGGGGAGGAAGAUGAAGCUUUGGACCUUCAGGAGGCCUCAGAGUCCUUCCCCACACUGGUGAGAUCCAUGUCUACCUCGAGGAGGCACAGCUGGGAGAGCCCCUUGUCACCUGUGGACUGCAAGCGCAGGUUCAGCUUGGAUACCACAGAGAGAGGCAGUGAUCCAGAGCAGGAGGAGGCGGAGAAAGGGAGCGGAUCCUGCACACAGCCUCGUGUGUCCCUGCAGCUGCCCAGGGGGAAGCAGGGAGCCUGGAACAGCAGUGCAGGCAGCAUGGUGAUCAAAGUGCAGAUAGAACCGCUGCAAGCCAGCGGCACAGCCAGCCUGGGCUCAGGGGAGACGGAACGUGUCAGUGAUGGAAAGAGACUGAGGCCACUGUCUAUCCCUUCAGCCUGCAAAGCUACCUCCCCCCAGGCAUCCUGUGGUUUCAACACUUCUCUUUCAGCCAUGGAAGGUGUUGAACCCCCUGCUCUGGAGAUGCUGGAGAAGGAUCAUGUGUCCCCAGACCAAGUGCUAAUAGUACAGCAGGUACUUCAGGAGCUGAAACAGUAUCAU
rnacentral:lncRNA from 1 species